AAUUGUUUACUUAAUUUUAUACUGAUUUAUUCAUAAUUUUUUUGUGUUGAAGUGGAGUUCUCGAAGGAACGUUAAGCGGUUUCGAGAAAAAAACGUUAAAAGUUUUGACAACAAAUAAUACUUACAUAAAUCAAUUAGCUAUGCCUGGGACGGCGCGCUCUCCUUUUGUGGCUACAACUUCGAAAAUAUUGAAAAUUUUGGUCUGGAAAUGUAACAGUAUAUUUUUGAAACGUUUUUAUUAAAAAACUUAAUCUUAAAAAAAGUGAGUUUACAUCAACUUCCAAGUUGGCGACAUUAUUAGAGUACAAGUGAAAACCAAUUAUAUCAAAAACAUAGUCACGUAACAAAUCUGUUUCCAUACUAUGAUUUUUACAUGUACACGAUAACGGAAAACAAUCAGGAUCGGCUUUUCAAAAUACGUGUAAUGGUUGACGCUUUAAAUUGACGAUUUCAGCAGAGUGCCAUCAAACAAUACUAUUCUAUAAAGCCAAUUAAACGUGGGUAGCAACUAUGGUGUUUGGUGGAUCAACAUGGAUAUUUCAAAACAAUUUUCAACAUACCAAGGAAAAGACGGAGUAGUAUAACAAGUAAAUCUCAAAAGAGAUCGAAAAUGCAUUUGUCAUACGUACUUGGCUAUUAAAGGACUCUAAGGAAAAUUUGUUGUCCGAACCAAUCUAAGCUGAGCUACUAUAACCUUUAAAAAUAAAAUAGCAAAAUUUUAGUUUGUAUUUUAUUACUCAGACUAUGCAUUUGUCAUUAAAAAUAUAAUAACAAUCAUAAAUACAUUAGACCGGUGCACUUAAUUAGUCAAAAUCA